CACGCGGCUCGAGCGUCACUUCCGGCGCGAGGGCCGGGCCGGCCGGCCGGGGAGUGCGGGUCUGUUCUGCGCGCGCUGCCAGCCGAGGCUCCUGCCGCCGUGACCCGCGCUCCGCCCGCCGCCGGGCUGAGGCAGGGUCUCUCUGUGUAAUAGCUGUGGCUGUCCCAGAACUCACUUGUAGAGCAGGCUGGCCGUGAACUCAUUUAGCUUCUCCUGCCUCUGCCUCCUGAGUGCCGGGAUUAAAGGCACGCACCACCACCAGUGGCUUCACGCUUCACCUUCUUAAUCUCACUUGUGGCCUGUGUGUCAGCAGGGACCCUGAUAGCUAAUGUCAGAAGAAAGUGACUCUCUGAGAACCAGCCCCUCUGUGGCCUCACUCUCCGAAAAUGAGCUGCCACUGCCUCCACCGGACCCUCCCGGCUACGUGUGCUCCCUGACAGAAGACUUGGUCACCAAAGCCAGGGAAGAGCUGCAGGAGAAGCCCGAGUGGAGGCUGCGGGAUGUGCAGGCCCUCCGAGACAUGGUGCGGAAGGAGUACCCAUACCUGAGCACGUCGCUGGACGAUGCCUUCCUGUUGCGCUUUCUGAGGGCCCGAAAGUUUGAUUAUGACCGGGCCCUGCAGCUGCUGGUCAACUACCACGGCUGCAGGCGGAGCUGGCCAGAGGUCUUCAGCAACCUGAGGCCGUCAGCCCUGAAAGACGUUCUCAACUCUGGAUUCCUUACAGUGCUGCCCCACACGGACCCCAGGGGCUGCCAUGUCCUCUGCAUCCGACCAGACAGAUGGAUACCAAGCAACUACCCAAUUACCGAGAACAUCCGAGCCGUAUACUUGACAUUAGAAAAACUCAUUCAGUCCGAGGAGACCCAGGUGAACGGGAUUGUUAUCCUUGCCGACUACAAGGGAGUGAGCUUAUCAAAAGCAUCUCAUUUUGGGCCUUUUAUAGCCAAAAAGGUGAUUGGCAUCCUUCAGGAUGGCUUCCCCAUUCGGAUAAAAGCAGUUCACAUAGUGAACGAACCUCGGAUAUUUAAGGGCAUUUUCGCCAUCAUAAAACCAUUUCUGAAGGAGAAAAUUGCUAACAGGGAACUAAUUUGGAAAGCUUAUGGUACAGAGAAACAGCCAUCCUUUCUCUAGCGGGCAGAUGGAACUGGUCAGAAUACAUUGUCAGUAGGGAGAACAGGACCAGGAUGUUGUGUUUACAAUGGAGCCUCAUGUAGCCCAGGAUGAAGUUCUUCCUCCAUGGGUCUGACCUGAACUCUCUCCACACAAACCUGCCAAGGAAUAUCCUCCCCAAGGAGUAUGGGGGCACAGCUGGGGAGCUGGACACUGCCUCCUGGAACGCCGUGCUGCUGGCCUCAGAGGAGGAUUUUGUGAAAGAGUUCUGCCAGCCCAUGCCUGCCUGCGACAACCUCCUGGGCCAGCCCCUGCUACCUGAGGGGCUGAUCUCAGAUGCGCAGUGUGAUGACUCCAUGCGAGCCAUGAAGUCCCAGCUCUACUCCUGCUAUUAGCCCUCUUUCGGGAGAGUACCGUGUGUGAUUCCUUCCUUCCUUCCUUAGAAAUGCACAGGCUGAGAUGCCAGGACCUCCGUCUUGCUCCAUCCCUCUGCAACAGCAUGGAGCUGCCUGCAGAGAUUUAAGGCACGCCCAUCACAGGCAGACCUUUGACUGAGUUAUUCCAGGGAAGACAUGGAAAUUGCCCUGGUGUACUCUUAAGUUUGCAGCUGUUACUCUGGAAGCUGUAUCUGUUUCUUAUGCAUCUUGGAAAGAACUAAGGUCAAAGUCACUCUGAAGUGACCAGGAGAAGACAACUUGACUGAUCACAACUCUGAAACAAUCACCAAUCCUUAGAGGUGGCCACACGUAAGACUUUUGAGUCUCUUUCCCAUAAACCCUAGGUGUUGACCUCUUGCUCAUCAGCAAAGUUCAAGGUUCAGGCCCCAGUUGUCAUUGUUGGGCCUGGGAAGCACUAACUGAGUGGUAGAAACCCCAGGCCCAGGUAGUACUUAAGAUCAAAUUUGGAAGCCAAAGGCUUCAAAGCAUCCCUGGGAGUCCAGGGUUAAAUCUUGCAAUAGAAACUUUUCCCAACCCCAUAAAGCCUUAGCUCUGGUUCUCCAUGGAAUCAUGUAGGUCAGCAUAAAAUACUGGAUUCUAGGACUGUGUGGCUAAAAGCAUUUGGACCAGGAGUCAGGUCGUAUGACUGACAAGACACGGGCUUCAGCUUGUCAUCUCUCAGUGAGGCUACAUGGAAUGAGGGUCUUUGUGGCUGCUGAAGUUGUUAGGCUUCUGCUUGGGAAGACAUUACCUAGAGGUGGUUGGAUCUUUUUGUUUUGUUUUGUUGUAGUAUGAAUACAGCCUUAUGUAAAGGAACAGCACCAUCUGGCCCUCCCUUUAAAGAAACUAGUAUGUUCCUGGGAGUUGGUGGAGACCAACUGCCUUUGCAGAAUAAUGGGUAAACUUGAAAGGGAUGGCUUUGGUGAGGCCGACCAGAUCUCAUACAAACUCCUUCCACACUGGAGACAUUCAUACUAUAUUAGAAACAGCCACAGUAAUUGCCAGGUUUGGGCUGUUUUUGUCCCUGGAAACAUACAGGAGCAGGCUAUUGCUGGUUCACCUGGGGGCCCUGCCCUCUCAGACACACUGGAGUCUCGUAUGGGAGGACCACUUGGACUGAAUGUCAGCUCUGUGUUUGGGUAUUUUAGACACCUGACAAGGUUUUAGCCUUAACUCAAGCACUGAGUGAGGUGAUUUAUCUCCUGGCUUUUGACUUGUUCCCUUUGUAUUCACUAUGUAUUAUAGUGUCAAGUACUGUUGGUUGUACAUCUCCUGGACUUAAGCAGGCAUUGCAUACAGCUUACACACAGUGCUUGGAGAUCAAAGGUCAGUCGGUUGUUACUAAGCUGUUCCACCCUUAACAGCAUUUCCCAAAAUGUCUACAGAAGCUCUUUAUGGAAACUUACCUCAAUAAUGUCAAUUCUAUGGGACAUUCUUUUCACUUUAGAUGCUAAUCGUUGAUCUUUUAGGUCCUGGCUAAGCUUUAGGGCCAAUAUACCCCUCUUGACUGCCCAUUGAGACCAUUUGCUGCUGAGUUUCUGCUAUUUGGUUUAGCUCCUGGCCUCCUAGACACCUGAAAAGACCCAUGAUGGCCCCCUGCAGCCUUGAUGGGAGAGUCUUAUUAGAAGCUUUCUUAGGUGGUUCAGAAGGAAAAAACAAAGGGAAAACCUCAGUCCCACUGGGUUCCCUGAAUUUAAAUUGUGUCACCUGACUAGUUCUCCUGACUUAACAAAGGGACAACCAGGCUCUUGGGGAGAAAUCUCAGGGCAGAAAUGUUACCUGUUUGCCAGGCCUUUCUGGCUAGGCCAAGAGGGAGCCAUUCCAUCAAGCCUCUAAGGAGGCUGGCUCUGCUAUGUUCUCACUAAUGCUUGUGGACUCUAGAGAUCCAUCUUGGCACCUCAGCUUUGAAGCAGGCUGUGAGACCAGGACCUCCUGGUGCAAAAUAAAGCAACUCUUAUGUUGAGCAGCAGGGGAGACGAAGGCCUCACCUGCGGGAAGCACACUGGUGGAGCCAGCAAGUGAGCAAGAACCUGGGAGUAUCUGACUUUGGGGUAAAGUGCUAGACGCUUCACAGACAGCUGGAAAUCCACCUUUCCUAAAUUCAAGGUCAUGUGGUAUAUUGGAAGAGAAAGGGAUAGAACAUUAACACCCUGAGUGCUGGACAGGGGCUUGUAUGCUAAACUCUGAAUCCUGUUCCUGACCAGACUCUGGCCGUAAGGACGCUAUACUUUGCCUGGUGCUGAAAUGUCCUAGUGUAGGGAUAUGGGAAUUUCCUUCAAGCCCGCUACAGAUUUCUAGGCAAUUCAGCUUCCUAUUAAUGUACGUUUUCUGCCUUCAUGCAGGAAUACAGAUAAAACCUACAGAAACAGUAAAAGUGCUGGCUUCAGGCACAGGUGGAUUUGUACUGUUCACAUUUCAUCCCAGGUUUGUAAGCAUCACAGGUUAUGGGGCAGCUUCUUCAGAGUUGGAGGACUGGGGUCAUUUCCUCUGAAUACUUUAAAUGGCUUUAUUACCUAGCAGGCAAUUUGAUGUGAUGUCAUCUCACUCUUGAGAUCAUUCAUGGAACUUGCUUUUCAGUUGGGCAGCAACAGCUAGCUACUCUGGUGUUGUGGUGGUAUUAUAAUACCUCAUCAAGGAUUUUCUUAUGACACCUCCUUUAGGAAGGAAAAGGCUAACUCAGUUGAUAGAAGUAUAGUUGUGCUGUGGUCAUGUUAGGCAGAAACACCAGACACAUGAGCUGUUGGGAGACAUCUUGGUGAGGCUCAGUACUGCAGUCUGUUCACUUUGUAAACCUGCUUUCUGCUCUCCUGACUCAGAAAUGUUCAGCUUCAAAAUGCAAGAAGCACCAUCAAAUGCUGCUUCUCAGCGGGAACUUGCUCCACAGGAAGGUCCAGUGGAAUUUGCAGCUGGAAUCACAUUUACUGGUUUGUGACCAAAUUUACUGGUUUUCAAUCUUUUCCCAUCAGGCAGUUACUGGUAGCCGCUUUGGAUUCUUGUGGAUGUGCCUCAGCUUCUUGGCACAUUACAAAGGGCCCAACAGGUAAAAUACUUGAAACUUCUCAGUGGCCAAGACCUCAGAUACCCUCUCUGAUGGGUGGGAACUGGGCUAUUUUCCUGACCAGUCUAGGCCACCAUUUUAGUCCCCAGUCACAUCCCUUACUUCAAACUGAAAUUCAGUUUGGCUUUGAGUAUAGGCACAUAUGAUGGAUUCACCUACUUCAGUGUUUUGACCAAAAGUUUAUUUUUCUAGUGCAUUUUUCUAAGUGGUGAAAAUAUGUAAUUUUAGUAUGCAUGACUGGGUCUCCAAAAUAAAAACCCCUGGAAAGCGGA